CCUUCAUUCGAACAUCUCUCUCCGGCUCAUCAGCUUCGAUUUUCUCUUGAAAACUCUUCACUAAAUUGGCACCAAAGUAGAAAAAUGGUGGGUUUUGGAAAACAAUAGCCCUCCGGAGAAGUUGAACGGUAGGUAGUGGAAAGCUCGCUAUAUUCCCUACUGCUGAGGUAUGAAUUUCUAAAGAAUUUACCAAUUUACCAUAGGGUUGCCAAGAAAAAAUCGAAUAUGAGCCGUAAAGAAUGUUCGAAUGAAGAGAGAAAGUUGCAGACUCGAAGAAUCCGAGUUUAGCGUAGAGUUUCUAUCGAAGGAGAGAACUGCUACGCAAAUAAAGGAGAAGAAAUAUGGUUUGGUUUUGGUCAAAAGAUCAAAAUGCUUACGAUAUAUAAUAAUAAAAUAACCAUGUGACAUCCUAAUUAGUGAAAACAUGUUGUUAACUUGUUAAAAAUGUAAUUUCCUGUUUUUUGCCGGGUUCGUGGAUGAUUGUAGAGCUUUUUUGCGUUCGA